rnacentral:rRNA from 1 species
UACGGAGGGGGCAAGCGUUGUUCGGAAUUACUGGGCGUAAAGGGCUCGAGUAGGUGGCCAACCUAAGUCAGACGUGAAAUCCCUCGGCUUAACCGGGGAACUGCGUCUGAUACUGGAUGGCUGGAGUUUGGGAGAGGGAUGCGGAAUUCCAGGUGUAGCGGUGAAAUGCGUAGAUAUCUGGAGGAACACCGGUGGCGAAGGCGGCAUCCUGGACCGAGAUUGACGCUGAGGCGCGAAAGCCAGGGGAGCAAACGGG